CCCUUAGCUGUUUGAGACAAACCUUUUUCCUCUGGUAGAGAGAACGGGGAGUAUGGGGAGAGGAGUAUGCAUUUUAUCAAGUUGCUAUAAGUGCACCGGGAGCUUCUGGGCUCUUUGUGUCUCGAGGGAUAGUUGACACAGAGACAUGUGCGAAGGGCUUUAUUAGUGACCUUGGAAAGUGGAAUGUCUGCACAGGAAGUAUUGACAACUUUAAAUUACUCCUCUCUGCACCUCUUGUCUGACACCUAUUUCCUUUCAACACUAUGUCUCUGUUGCACACUCAAACACACACACGCAGGCAUAGAUAUACACACACUUCUAAGUCGCUUGUGUCUUGUCACACACACUUUGGUUUUCCGGGGCUAUCAAAGUGCUGAGUGCAAACUCUCUCCUCCAAAAACUGUCACAUGUCGCCAGAGGUGUCUCGCUCCCUGCGGUAACCCUCUGAGCUCCUGGCACAAGAACAAGUCAUUAUUUCCAUGGUAAAGGUCAGACGCUCUGUCACCUGACUCUAAAGUGGAGCUGAGUGGAGUCGCCCCGAGACAAUGACCAAAGGUCAGUUUUCUGUUUUGACUCUCAUACAGUAGGUGUAGAUUUGAGGAGGACAGGCUGCUCCCAGAUCUGCCUCUGAGCCCCUUUUGGUCACACUGGCUUCCAGACAUGGAGGCUCAGAUAAUUGGCUGCAGGGAGCUCCUUAAUGAGCCGCGGGGUCUGUAAUGUGACACAUCUUCAAGGAGAAAUAUUUUAAUAGGGCAAUUACAGCGAUGAGGAGGAUGUUUUGUGUGGAGUGAGUGAUUGUUGUGGAAGGACGCCGUGCUAAGGAAUUCUGUGGCAUUUAACUCCAUUAUCUACUGUGAGGCUCGGUGGUGGGGACAUUUUCAGUGUGAUUACAGUCUCAUUUGAGCUUAUCUUUGUCUGCAUGGUCUGACCCGACACUGUAGGUCAUAAUAUGCUUAAGGGUUAUAUUUCCAAUUACGAUCUAAUAUUAUGGAGAAGGAAAAUAGGUAAGUGGAUGUAGAGUUCAAU